CUCCUCUGUUCCUGCUGCACCAUUUGGUGCCUGGACUGUGAACUGUUUCUCCAGGUGACACUCCUCAGGACGAGGAGACCAACUCUCGCUGGGACUGGUUGCAUGGUUCUGGAUCCCCACUGUCAGCCUUCCGCACACCAUCUUACUACCUGCUUGCCGUCUGCUGCGAGCCUGAGCCUCACUACGACGGUAGUACUGCACGUCGGACCAGUGAUCUCCUGUGCCAGCUCCCACACCUCCCCCUGGACUGUGUUCUUAGCCUACGAUGCUCACCUGCCUAGAGCCACCAUCUGCGCCUCUCCUACAACCUUGGGUUGUAGCUCUAGCAGUCCAGUCAUCCCAGCACUCCCCGCUGCCCUGAGAUCGGCUGACGUGACCAGUUCUGACCACUUCUCAGUUCUGUUAUUAAAAUACAUUUACCUGGUCAAGCCUGAG